AUACUUAAUCUGGCAGGGGAGAUACCAGGAUCACGAAGGUGUUUUUCCCAGGGCAAGGCUUGUCCACUGCAUGCCACAUGGGCUGACUCCUGCAAUUUAACUCAAACGUGGGAAGCUUGACUGCAUAAUUUGCUGUAGUGGGGGACUGCGUUCAUGCCCUUCCCUG